rnacentral:misc_RNA from 2 species
AACGCACAUUGCGCCCUUUGGUAUUCCGAAGGGCAUGCCUGUUCGAGCGUCAUUAUCAACCCUCAAGCCUGGCUUGUUGUUGGACCUCAGGUCGCCGCUCCGGUGGACCGGUCUCAAAGACAAUGACGGCGUCCGUGGGACCCUCGGUGCAAUGAGCUUCUUCCAAAGCACGCAUCAGAGUGGGCUCGCGGGGGCCGUCUCCCCGUCAUAUUUUAUCAAGGUUGACCUCGGAUCAGGUAGGAAUACCCGCUGAACUUAA